rnacentral:rRNA from 1 species
GACGAACGCUGGCGGCGUGCUUAACACAUGCAAGUCGAACGGAAAGGCCCUGCUUUUGUGGGGUGCUCGGGUGGCGAACGGGUGAGUAGCACGUGAGUAACCUGCCCUUGACUUUGGGAUAACUUCAGGAAACUGGGGCUAAUACCGGAUAGGAGCUCCUGCUGCAUGGUGGGGGUUGGAAAGUUUCGGCGGUUGGGGAUGGACUCGCGGCUUAUCAGCUUGUUGGUGGGGUAGUGGCUUACCAAGGCUUUGACGGGUAGCCGGCCUGAGAGGGUGACCGGCCACAUUGGGACUGAGAUACGGCCCAGACUCCUACGGGAGGCAGCAGUGGGGAAUAUUGCACAAUGGGCGGAAGCCUGAUGCAGCAACGCCGCGUGCGGGAUGACGGCCUUCGGGUUGUAAACCGCUUUCGCCUGUGACGAAGCGUGAGUGACGGUAAUGGGUAAAGAAGCACCGGCUAACUACGUG